AUGUGUGUGAGAUUGCAGGGAGGAGAGCACUGUUACUAUCACGGUCACGUGAGAGGAGUUCAGAGGUCAUGGGCAGCUCUCUCCACCUGUCAUGGCCUACAAGGGAUGUUCUCAGAUGGCAGCUUUUCAUACGGCAUUGAGCCCUUGCACAACAGCAGUGAUCAGGAUGCAAAUACUCAUGUUGUAUACAGAAUGGCAGACAUCCGGUUGAGGCCACAUUCCUCAGGUAAAAUACAGACACCCUCAUGUCAUUUCAAAAUGAUUGUCUUUCAAGGAGUCACACAUGAACUCUGUCAUGACUCUCAUGAAAAACUGACUGAACAAAUUAGAGACUAGGUUUUUUUUUUUUGUAUGGAAAAGAUCCACUUGGACAAAUGUCUUGUGCUCUACAGGAAAAAAGAAUGUUUUUAUUUUCAAGUGAACUCUUCCUUUAAUACAGUAAGACAUAUGCAGUCUCUGUCCUAUAUGAUCUAUAUUCAGGUGGUUUUCUUCUUCAUUCAGACCAUGUCUGCUUUUACAUCCUUCCUGAUCUCUCUCUUUCUCCGUCUGCUGCAUAUUGAUUUUCUGCAUGGAUACUUUUUCAGUAAUAGACAUCUUUAUCGAUCCACUGAAAGCUGAUGAGUGGUAACUUUUUGUUCGGGAUGGUUUUCAUCCGUAUAUGGCUGCUUCUCUUCCAGGAAGCACCAGGAACAGCAGUGACUCUGACAUUAACACUGACCAUCCCGUUUCUAUGGAAACGAAUGAGCCGGAGCUCACAGAUGGGCUGAGACGGGCAAAAAGACAGGUGAGAGUUUUUAUUUUUGACAUCAGUUGAUCAGUUUUUUUUUUUUGUUUUUUUCUUGAAGAUUAGUCAUGCACAACAGGCUGCCGAAAAGGGCACCUAGAAAUUGGUUUCAACCAAAGGCGGACCACGGUAAAGUUUUUGUACAGGGUAGAAGAAUUCCUAACUAAGCCCUGCAUGCUUAUGUCAUAGGUUAGUCUUUAUUAGGUGUCUUUCACUUUCACUACCACCUCAAAAGUUGAAUAGGAAAACUAGUAAUGUUGUGACAUAUUAUUACAAUUGAAAAUAAGUGUAUUCUAUUUAAAAAUGUAAUUUAUUCUUGUGUCAACAAAGGUGAAUUUUCAGCAGCCAUAACUCCAGUCUUCAGUGUCAAGUGAUACUGAAAUCAUUCUAAUAUGCAGAUUUGCUGCUCAAGAAUGUUUUUAAAAUUAUUAUUAUAAAUGUUGAAAACAAAAAAGUUAUACUUUUGAGGAAACUGAAUAAAAAUAUGAAUUUCUUUUUGUACUUACCCCAAACUUCUGAAUGGUAGUGUAUCACAAAAGCAAAAACAAGUAGAAAGAUCCUUUUAAAGUUUUCAAAACUGGUUAUAAUAAGAUGUGUUUCUUGAGCACCAAGUUCAAGAAGACUAAAGACUGUAAUAAUGGCUGCUGAAAAAUCAGCUUUUCCAUCACAGGAACACAUUGCUUUUUAAAAUGUAUUCAAAUAAAAACUGUUUGUUUAAAUUGUAAUAAUAUUUGAUCAUAUUACUGUUUUUACUGUAUUUUUGACAAGUGAUGUAAGAUUUUAAGAUAUUAAGCACAUACACACACACACACACACACACACACACACACACACACACACACAAUAACAACAAUAACAACAACAAAACUUAAUGACUCGUAACAUUUGACCAGAAGGAAUGACUAAGAAGAUAGUGAAGAUAGAAGAAAAUAGUGAUGACUAAAAUGAAAUAAUCCAGUUUGUUUAUUUGAAAUUAUUCGUUUUGUUAACUGUUGAACUAAUUCACCAAAUCAGACUGAAUUGUCUGGUCCGUUUGCGUCUCGAGUCAGCACUGCUCCACAAGUUACGUAAUCAAAAAUUUUCAGACAUGUUUGACAGUCACUCCAACUUUAAAUGAGCCGGUAUCCUGGAGUAUAUGCUCAUAUGAUGCCAGUGGAUUUUGCUAACUCAUAACUACCAGUGCUCCAUUUACUCCAACAGUAAACUAACUGAACUAGGGUUCCAUAAAGGGGAGGGAUAUUUCUGAUUUCUUUUGCUGAACAGCAGGAAGUAUAACAUCAGUUAUUAUACCAUCAGUUGAUUACAUCAGUAAUGGAUCCGGCUCACAUAACAGUGAUGUGGUGGCAUUAGAUGUGGACUCAACAGUACUGUACAUGCUAUGACAGGCAGGUUUCAAAUGAAAUUUUUCCACUGAACGCAAACUGUGUACGCUAUUCUGUGUCAUCCGUGACACAAGGAUAUGUUUUCUACAUGUAUUAAUGCUUUGAUUUGAACAAAGACAGCGCAUCCGUGCAGCGUGGCUGACACAGAAGAGCGUAUGCUGCUCAGAGGAGACGAAUUGUUGAAUAAAGUCAUUAUUUUUGUUUUCUUUGCAAAAAGUAUUCUCGUUGCUUCAUAAGGUUACAGUUAAACCACUGAUGGCAGAUGGACUAUUCUGACAGUGUCUUUCAUAAUUUUCUGGACCUUGACAGUGUAAUUUACUAGAUAGUCAAUGGGACAGUCACAAGCCUCCCGGUUUUCAUCCAAAAUAUCUUAUAAGCUUUUAUGGGUUUGGGGAUAAGUGAUUAAUGACAAAAUUUUCAUUUUGUGGUGAAGUAUCCCUUUAAAUCAUUUAAUAUUUCUGUAUUCAAAAUUUUAUAUUUAAAACAUUAAUCUCCACAUGAAUUUAUGAAUUAAAUUGCACUCAUACCACCUCUGAGCAUCAUUAAAUGUCUAAAAAUGCACCUACAAGCCACUUUUGUGUUCUUCUGUGCACCCUCUGUAGUACAAAUGAAUUUUUUAUUAAUAUUAAUUUCAUAUGAUUGCUAACUUAUUUGUCUCAUUCUACUUCUUAUAUUCUUUUAAAUAGAACUU
ensembl:lncRNA